UGGGGAAUUUUGGACAAUGGGCGAAAGCCUGAUCCAGCAAUGCCGCGUGUGUGAAGAAGGCCUUCGGGUUGUAAAGCACUUUUGUCCGGAAAGAAAUCCUUGGCUCUAAUACAGUCGGGGGAUGACGGUACCGGAAGAAUAAGCACCGGCUAACUACGUGCCAGCAGCCGCGGUAAUACGUAGGGUGCAAGCGUUAAUCGGAAUUACUGGGCGUAAAGCGUGCGCAGGCGGUUUGCUAAGACCGAUGUGAAAUCCCCGGGCUCAACCUGGGAACUGCAUUGGUGACUGGCAGGCUAGAGUAUGGCAGAGGGGGGUAGAAUUCCACGUGUAGCAGUGAAAUGCGUAGAGAUGUGGAGGAAUACCGAUGGUGAAGGCAGCCCCCUGGGCCAAUACUGACGCUCAUGCACGAAAGCGUGGGGAGCAAACAGGAUUAGAUACCCUGGUAGUCCACGCCCUAAACGAUGUCAACUAGUUGUUGGGGAUUCAUUUCCUUAGUAACGUAGCUAACGCGUGAAGUUGACCGCCUGGGGAGUACGGUCGCAAGAUU
rnacentral:rRNA from 1 species